rnacentral:lncRNA from 10 species
UGAAAAUGUUACAAGAUUUAUGCAUGAACCUUUUUUUUUUCCUCAUCAGCUAUCGUGAGUGUUAGUGUAUUUUAUGUGUGGCACAAGACAAUUCUUCUUCCAGUGUGGCCCAGGGAAGCAAAAAGACUGGACACCCUUCAAAUGAAACCUUCAGUACCUGGGAACAUGAGGCGCUUAUGA